rnacentral:rRNA from 1 species
UACGGAGGGUGCGAGCGUUGUCCGGAAUCACUGGGCGUAAAGGGCGCGUAGGCGGCUCGGUAAGCGUGCGGUGAAAGCCUGGGGCUCAACCCCGGGUCGGCCGUGCGAACUGUCGAGCUCGAGCACUGUAGAGGCAGGCGGAAUUCCGGGUGUAGCGGUGGAAUGCGUAGAGAUCCGGAAGAACACCGGUGGCGAAGGCGGAUCUCUGGGCCUUACCUGACGCUGAGGCGCGAAAGCUAGGGGAGCGAACAGG